GUUAAAAGCAAACCCAGCUCUAUUCUGGAGACUGAGGCAGGAGGAUCACUUGAGUGAGAGUUCUGGGCUUUAGUGAGCUAUGCCAAUUGGGUGUCUGCACUAAGUUUGACAUCAACAUGGUAAUCUCCUGGGAAUGGUGGAUCACCAGGGAGGUGUCUAAGGAGGGGCAAACUGGCCCAGAUCAGAUAUAGAGCAAUUCAAAACUUUCAUCUUGAUCAGUGGUGGGAGGAUCAUGCCUGUAAGUAGCCACUCCAGUCUGGGCAACGUAGCAAGACCCUAUCUCUA
rnacentral:SRP_RNA from 1 species